rnacentral:rRNA from 1 species
CAGCAGCCACGGUAAUACGAAGGGUGCAAGCGUUACUCGGAAUUACUGGGCGUAAAGCGUGCGUAGGUGGUGGUUUAAGUCCGUUGUGAAAGCCCUGGGCUCAACCUGGGAAUUGCAGUGGAUACUGGGUCACUAGAGUGUGGUAGAGGAUAGUGGAAUUUCCGGUGUAGCAGUGAAAUGCGUAGAGAUCGGAAGGAACAUCUGUGGCGAAGGCGACUAUCUGGGCCAACACUAACACUGAGGCACGAAAGCGUGGGGAGCAAACAGGAUUAGAUACCCCGGUAGUCCCUGUCUCUUAUAC